CAAACUAAAAAGAAAAAAAAAGCAGGCCAUGUUCCUCUUUUGAAGAAGCUCCAGCCUUUCCCGUUGUCUUGGCUACCUCUACAAGCUGGAAGAGGCGAAGAAUGAUCUUCUCCAAAGGCUCCAGAAGAUUCCGGUGUGGUGGACACAUGAUUUUUAAAUCCCGUAAGACUUCAGACCCACAGGAUUAUAUCCCACACGUGACGUCCUGGGUCCCCACGUGCAGAGCUGCAGAGGGACACGCCUGAGAUUUUAUCCAAGACCCGGCUUCUGCUGAGAGGCGCUCUGGCAUCAAAAGCGAUCAAGCCCUCUGCUCUUACGGGACAGCUUCACAGGUGGGUUGGGAGCCCAGAACUUCCGCCCGGAGCCCCCCACAGAUGACUCCAGGUCGGAAAACGCCUGCUUCGGUCCCCAGCGCCCCUGGUCCCGAGGCCCAGAGACGUUAAAAUCUUCUAAAGCUCCAGGAGAAGACGUGCACACGUACCCACAGCAGGGGUGGCCCCGCGCCCUGUGCUGGGUGCUGAGGCUGCAGACAAGAGCACGGGAAGUGACAACAGGGUCUGAGGACUGGGACGUCGGCCUCCAGGGACCGAACGCUCCCCUCCCCCAUUCCCGCAGGAGCGGUGGUCACGGGAUGCCCCUCGCUGGCUGGCCUGAUCACGUGCAGCUCCUUGGGGACCCCAUUGUCUGCCCAGACAGCCGGGGUUCAUUUGGGAAACCGGUCCCUGGGAAUGGAAAGGGAGAUUUCAACCGUGGAGUUGGACUUUUGUGUUAAUACAACUGUGUUUUGUUUGGGGGUUUUGUCUUUUUUCGAAUAACACUACACAGAGAACCCUAAGAAAGUCCCUGGGCUGCAGCAGGCAGACGCAUGGUUUCUUUUAUUCCAUCCGUUGGGGGG